rnacentral:tRNA from 1 species
GGCGCUGUGGCACAGUGGGUUAAAGCCCCAGCCUGCAGUGCUGGCAUCCCAUAUGGGUGCCAGUUUCAAGUCCUGGCUGCUCCA